rnacentral:lncRNA from 1 species
AUGGCUCACCUUGGCCACCCGGCACGGCCCCUGCUGCAAAGGAGGCUGGGAAGGGUCCCCCGUCAGGGCAAGCAUGUGCCCAGCAGCCCUGGGAGAGGUUCGAGGACAAAGCCCCGUCGGACAUCUGGACAUGAUAUAACGUCGGUGGAGGCAAAGGGGAAGAAAGACCAGAAGGGCCUGCGAGGGCAGUGCCUCCCCCAGGAGCGGAGGGGGCGGACAGGAGUGGCCGGCGGGGCAGGAGCCGCCUGCGGUGAAGACCAGAGACACGGCGUUCAGCAGAUGGUCAGGAUCCAGUGGCCAUUCCGCUCUUCCCCCAGGGCGCCCCGAGUCUGGUAG